UUACGGGGAAUUAGCUCAGCUGGGAGAGCGCCUGGUUUGCAACCAGGAGGUCACCGGUUCGAGCCCGGUAUUC
rnacentral:tRNA from 1 species